rnacentral:rRNA from 1 species
AUUGAACGCUGGCGGCAUGCUUUACACAUGCAAGUCGAACGGCAGCGCGGGCUUCGGCCUGGCGGCGAGUGGCGAACGGGUGAGUAAUACAUCGGAACGUGCCCAGUAGUGGGGGAUAGCUCGGCGAAAGCCGGAUUAAUACCGCAUACGACCUGAGGGUGAAAGCGGGGGAUCUUCGGACCUCGCGCUAUUGGAGCGGCCGAUGGCAGAUUAGCUAGUUGGUGGGGUAAAGGCCUACCAAGGCGACGAUCUGUAGCUGGUCUGAGAGGACGACCAGCCACACUGGGACUGAGACACGGCCCAGACUCCUACGGGAGGCAGCAGUGGGGAAUUUUGGACAAUGGGCGAAAGCCUGAUCCAGCAAUGCCGCGUGUGUGAUGACGGCCUUCGGGUUGUAAAGCACUUUUGGCGGGAACGAAAAGGACUGUGCCAAUACCACGGUUCGAUGACGGUACCCGCAGAAUAAGCACCGGCUAACUACGUG